UUCAACUUAAACGACGCAAUCCCUACCUCUAUUGCAUCCUUACAGCUCCGAAGCUGAUCCAGUGUGAUUAAGUUGUAUCAAAACGUA
rfam:Halobacillus sp. BAB-2008 contig02, whole genome shotgun sequence.